rnacentral:sRNA from 1 species
GGGGUGGUAUAAACAAAGAAUUGUACAGCUUACAAGUUACAAUCCAGAAUUAAACAGCUCGGUAGCAAAGCACAUAUUGAAUCAUGCUGCCGAUACAAAAAUCCUGCUGUUUAGAAGAUACAAGCUAGGAAUAGAAAAGCAAGCGAAGACUCAACAUCAACAUUGAUAACAUGUGGGAAAAAUGAUUGUUGAGGAAACCAUAGAUAAAUUGGCCGAACUCAACUGCCCAUUUUUCCCAAAACUGGUUUAGCAGGAAAGUUUAAGCAGCAUGUACAAUGAAAUUGUAUGUGCAGCUCCAUUUAUACUAGUCCUGCAUGCAAUGAGUUCUAGACAACCGAAGUUGAUAAAAGUUUCAUGACACUGCCAUACAAACAACAAACAAAUCUGUUUCAGGUCUAAUGAGAGGAAAAUGAUUGUUGGAGAAAACAGAAUAAGCUUAACCCAACUGCCCACUUUCCUCUAAUUGAUAUAGCAGGAAACACUUUCGGCAAAAAAUGCAUAGCAUAAGGCAUUAGGCCGAUACACACUAUCCUGCAGGGUAACAUGACAACGGAAAAAACAAAUGUAAAAUCCAUGAAAAAGUAAAACAUUUCUUUGGUACUGCUAUCUAGAGAGAAAACUAAAAGCUACAGAAGCACAAUAAGGAAUAAAUAAAGCAAGAAUGCAAUUUACAGAUCACCAAAACAGACAUAAUGUCAUAAUAUAAAAAUAUGUAGAGAUAAAUGAGAGGAAAAUGAUUGUUGAAAAAAGCACAAAAGCUUAACCCAACUGCCCACUUUCCCCAGAUCAAUAUAGCAGGAAACACUUUUGGCACAAGACGCACAAAAAAGCGUUAAGCCGAUACACACUAUCCUGCAGGAUGAAGCAUAUACAGUGGGCAGAAUGAUUACCUACUAUACUAAUCUCAUGUAAAAAAAUGAGAAAUAUAUCAGGAACUAGAAAGUGAGACACACCAUAAAUGUUACUGAGCACCAGGAAGAAAUUAAUAGUGACGAAUCUUGUAUUAGUUGCUGAUGUUUGCAACUUAAAAACUAGAACUCUUUACUAGUAAUAAUGUUAAUAAUGAACAUUACAUAACUGAAAAAAACAUGAAGCGCAUGCAUCAGAUCACCUAAACUUAUUCUAUUUAAGCAGCAACUGGGAUCUCAGCUGUAAGAGGCUUUGAAAACUCAUCCUCAUCCUUAGGGGCAUGGAUGGUAACAAGAUCCGGUAAAGGAGUCAUUGGUCCUUGCUUGCCCUUC